UUCCGGUUGAUCCCGCCGGACCUGACUGCUAUCGGAUUGAUACUAAGCCAUGCGAGUCAUUGUAGCAAUACAAGGCAUACGGCUCAGUAACGCGUAGUCAACCUAACCUAUGGACGGGAAUAACCUCGGGAAACUGAGAAUAAUGCCCGAUAGAACAUUAUACCUGGAAUGGUUUAUGUUCCAAAUGAUUUAUCGCCGUAGGAUGGGACUGCGGCCUAUCAGUUUGUUGGUGAGGUAAUGGCCCACCAAGACUAUUACAGGUACGGGCUCUGAGAGGAGUAGCCCGGAGAUGGGUACUGAGACACGGACCCAGGCCCUAUGGGGCGCAGCAGGCGAGAAAACUUUGCAAUGUGCGAAAGCACGACAAGGUUAAUCCGAGUGAUUUCUGCUAAAGAAAUCUUUUGUUAGUCCUAGAAACACUAACGAAUAAGGGGUGGGCAAGUUCUGGUGUCAGCCGCCGCGGUAAAACCAGCACCUCAAGUGGUCAGGAUGAUUAUUGGGCCUAAAGCAUCCGUAGCCGGCUCUGUAAGUUUUCGGUUAAAUCUGUACGCUCAACGUACAGGCUGCCGGGAAUACUGCAUAGCUAGGGAGUGGGAGAAGUAGACGGUACUCGGUAGGAAGUGGUAAAAUGCUUUGAUCUAUCGAUGACCACCUGUGGCGAAGGCGGUCUACUAGAACACGUCCGACGGUGAGGGAUGAAAGCUGGGGGAGCAAACCGGAUUAGAUACCCGGGUAGUCCCAGCUGUAAACUACGCAAACUCAGUGAUGCAUUGGCUUGUGGCCAAUGCAGUGCUGCAGGGAAGCCGUUAAGUUUGCCGCCUGGGAAGUACGUACGCAAGUAUGAAACUUAAAGGAAUUGGCGGGGGAGCACCACAAGGGGUGAAGCCUGCGGUUCAAUUGGACUCAACGCCGGA
rnacentral:rRNA from 1 species